rnacentral:rRNA from 1 species
UAGGGAAUCUUCGGCAAUGGGGGGAACCCUGACCGAGCAACGCCGCGUGAGUGAAGAAGGUUUUCGGAUCGUAAAGCUCUGUUGUUAAGGAAGAACGAGUGUGAGAAUGGAAAGUUCAUGCUGUGACGGUACUUAACCAGAAAGGGACGGCUAACUACGUGCCAGCAGCCGCGGUAAUACGUAGGUCCCGAGCGUUGUCCGGAAUUAUUGGGCGUAAAGCGCGCGCAGGCGGACUAGCCAGUCAGUCUUAAAAGUUCGGGGCUUAACCCCGUGAUGGGAUUGAAACUACUAGUCUAGAGUAUCGGAGAGGAAAGUGGAAUUCCUAGUGUAGCGGUGAAAUGCGUAGAUAUUAGGAAGAACACCAGUGGCGAAGGCGACUUUCUGGACGAACACUGACGCUGAGGCGCGAAAGCCAGGGGAGCGAACGGG